AAGGCGAAACCCGAAAAGCCUAUUGGCAAACAGAGUAGGGG
rfam:Reichenbachiella agariperforans strain DSM 26134 genome assembly, contig: Ga0070003_102